rnacentral:rRNA from 1 species
UUAAGCGACUAAGCGUACACGGUGGAUGCCCUGGCAGUCAGAGGCGAUGAAGGACGUGCUAAUCUGCGAUAAGCGUCGGUAAGGUGAUAUGAACCGUUAUAACCGGCGAUUUCCGAAUGGGGAAACCCAGUGUGUUUCGACACACUAUCAUUAACUGAAUCCAUAGGUUAAUGAGGCGAACCGGGGGAACUGAAACAUCUAAGUACCCCGAGGAAAAGAAAUCAACCGAGAUUCCCCCAGUAGCGGCGAGCGAACGGGGAGGAGCCCAGAGCCUGAAUCAGUGUGUGUGUUAGUGGAAGCGUCUGGAAAGGCACGCGAUACAGGGUGACAGCCCCGUACACAAAAAUGCACAUGCUGUGAGCUCGAUGAGUAGGGCGGGACACGUGGUAUCCUGUCUGAAUAUGGGGGGACCAUCCUCCAAGGCUAAAUACUCCUGACUGACCGAUAGUGAACCAGUACCGUGAGGGAAAGGCGAAAAGAACCCCGGCGAGGGGAGUGAAAAAGAACCUGAAACCGUGUACGUACAAGCAGUGGGAGCCUCUUUUAUGGGGUGACUGCGUACCUUUUGUAUAAUGGGUCAGCGACUUAUAUUCUGUAGCAAGGUUAACCGAAUAGGGGAGCCGAAGGGAAACCGAGUCUUAACUGGGCGUUAAGUUGCAGGGUAUAGACCCGAAACCCGGUGAUCUAGCCAUGGGCAGGUUGAAGGUUGGGUAACACUAACUGGAGGACCGAACCGACUAAUGUUGAAAAAUUAGCGGAUGACUUGUGGCUGGGGGUGAAAGGCCAAUCAAACCGGGAGAUAGCUGGUUCUCCCCGAAAGCUAUUUAGGUAGCGCCUCGUGAAUUCAUCUCCGGGGGUAGAGCACUGUUUCGGCAAGGGGGUCAUCCCGACUUACCAACCCGAUGCAAACUGCGAAUACCGGAGAAUGUUAUCACGGGAGACACACGGCGGGUGCUAACGUCCGUCGUGAAGAGGGAAACAACCCAGACCGCCAGCUAAGGUCCCAAAGUCAUGGUUAAGUGGGAAACGAUGUGGGAAGGCCCAGACAGCCAGGAUGUUGGCUUAGAAGCAGCCAUCAUUUAAAGAAAGCGUAAUAGCUCACUGGUCGAGUCGGCCUGCGCGGAAGAUGUAACGGGGCUAAACCAUGCACCGAAGCUGCGGCAGCGACGCUUAUGCGUUGUUGGGUAGGGGAGCGUUCUGUAAGCCUGUGAAGGUGUGCUGUGAGGCAUGCUGGAGGUAUCAGAAGUGCGAAUGCUGACAUAAGUAACGAUAAAGCGGGUGAAAAGCCCGCUCGCCGGAAGACCAAGGGUUCCUGUCCAACGUUAAUCGGGGCAGGGUGAGUCGACCCCUAAGGCGAGGCCGAAAGGCGUAGUCGAUGGGAAACAGGUUAAUAUUCCUGUACUUGGUGUUACUGCGAAGGGGGGACGGAGAAGGCUAUGUUGGCCGGGCGACGGUUGUCCCGGUUUAAGCGUGUAGGCUGGUUUUCCAGGCAAAUCCGGAAAAUCAAGGCUGAGGCGUGAUGACGAGGCACUACGGUGCUGAAGCAACAAAUGCCCUGCUUCCAGGAAAAGCCUCUAAGCAUCAGGUAACAUCAAAUCGUACCCCAAACCGACACAGGUGGUCAGGUAGAGAAUACCAAGGCGCUUGAGAGAACUCGGGUGAAGGAACUAGGCAAAAUGGUGCCGUAACUUCGGGAGAAGGCACGCUGAUAUGUAGGUGAAGCGACUUGCUCGUGGAGCUGAAAUCAGUCGAAGAUACCAGCUGGCUGCAACUGUUUAUUAAAAACACAGCACUGUGCAAACACGAAAGUGGACGUAUACGGUGUGACGCCUGCCCGGUGCCGGAAGGUUAAUUGAUGGGGUCAGCGCAAGCGAAGCUCUUGAUCGAAGCCCCGGUAAACGGCGGCCGUAACUAUAACGGUCCUAAGGUAGCGAAAUUCCUUGUCGGGUAAGUUCCGACCUGCACGAAUGGCGUAAUGAUGGCCAGGCUGUCUCCACCCGAGACUCAGUGAAAUUGAACUCGCUGUGAAGAUGCAGUGUACCCGCGGCAAGACGGAAAGACCCCGUGAACCUUUACUAUAGCUUGACACUGAACAUUGAGCCUUGAUGUGUAGGAUAGGUGGGAGGCUUUGAAGUGUGGACGCCAGUCUGCAUGGAGCCGACCUUGAAAUACCACCCUUUAAUGUUUGAUGUUCUAACGUUGACCCGUAAUCCGGGUUGCGGACAGUGUCUGGUGGGUAGUUUGACUGGGGCGGUCUCCUCCUAAAGAGUAACGGAGGAGCACGAAGGUUGGCUAAUCCUGGUCGGACAUCAGGAGGUUAGUGCAAUGGCAUAAGCCAGCUUGACUGCGAGCGUGACGGCGCGAGCAGGUGCGAAAGCAGGUCAUAGUGAUCCGGUGGUUCUGAAUGGAAGGGCCAUCGCUCAACGGAUAAAAGGUACUCCGGGGAUAACAGGCUGAUACCGCCCAAGAGUUCAUAUCGACGGCGGUGUUUGGCACCUCGAUGUCGGCUCAUCACAUCCUGGGGCUGAAGUAGGUCCCAAGGGUAUGGCUGUUCGCCAUUUAAAGUGGUACGCGAGCUGGGUUUAGAACGUCGUGAGACAGUUCGGUCCCUAUCUGCCGUGGGCGCUGGAGAACUGAGGGGGGCUGCUCCUAGUACGAGAGGACCGGAGUGGACGCAUCACUGGUGUUCGGGUUGUCAUGCCAAUGGCACUGCCCGGUAGCUAAAUGCGGAAGAGAUAAGUGCUGAAAGCAUCUAAGCACGAAACUUGCCCCGAGAUGAGUUCUCCCUGACCCUUUAAGGGUCCUGAAGGAACGUUGAAGACGACGACGUUGAUAGGCCGGGUGUGUAAGCGCAGCGAUGCGUUGAGCUAACCGGUACUAAUGAACCGUGAGGCUUAACCUU